CCUACGGGUGGCAGCAGUGGGGAAUAUUGCACAAUGGGGGAAACCCUGAUGCAGCAACGCCGCGUGAGUGAAGAAGGAUUUCGGUAUGUAAAGCUCUAGCAGCAGGGAAGAAGAUGACGGUACCUGAAGAAGAAGCCCCGGCUAACUACGUGCCAGCAGCCGCGGUAAUACGUAGGGGGCAAGCGUUCUCCGGAUUUACUGGGUGUAAAGGGAGCGCAGACGGCAGUGCAAGUCUGGAGUGAAAGCCCGGGGCCCAACCCCGGAACUGCUCUGGAAACUGUGCGGCUCGAGUACUGGAGGGGCCGGCGGAAUUCCUGGUGUCGCGGUGACUUGCGUUGAUCUCCGGAGGAACCCCGGUGGCGACGGCGGCCUGCUGGACUGCGACUGACGUUGAGGCCC
rnacentral:rRNA from 1 species